rnacentral:rRNA from 1 species
UACGGGGGGGGCAAGCGUUGUUCGGAAUUACUGGGCGUAAAGGGCUCGUAGGUGGCCAACUAAGUCAGACGUGAAAUCCCCAGGCUUAACCUGGGAACUGCGUCGGAUACUGGAUGGCUUGAAUUCGGGAGAGGGAUGCGGAAUUCCAGGUGUAGCGGUGAAAUGCGUAGAUAUCUGGAGGAACACCGGUGGCGAAGGCGGCAUCCUGGACCAACACUGACGCUGAGUGAGCGAAAGCCAGGGGAGCAAACGGG